GAUUCCCUCAGUAAGGGCGACUGAACGGGGAAAAGCUCAGCAUGUGAAUCUGCGCCUUGGCGCUGAAUUGUGGUCUGUUGACUCUGGCGUUAUUGGCCGGGCUAAGUCCCUUGGAACAGGGCAGCAUAGAGGGUGAGACUCCCGUCUGCCUGGCCUUUUGAGCUGGAUGUCUACGAGUCGAGUUGUUUGGGAUUGCAGCUCAAAGUGGGUGGUAAAUUCCAUCUAAAGCUAAAUAUUGGUGGGAAACCGAUAGCGUACAAGUACCGUGAGGGAAAGAUGCAAAGAACUUUGAAAAGAGAGUUAAAGAGUACCUGAAAUUGCUGAAAGGGAAGCGAAGGAAACCAGUGCUUGCCGAGGCAUAUUUCUCCCUCCGCUUGCGGGGUGGGCGCUGUGUCUUGGCCUGGGUCAGGCUUGGUUCGGUUGGUCAGAAGGGCGUAGUGGGAGUUGCCCACUGCUUGCCUGUGACUGGCAGGACUGAGGCUGACAAAAUGGUUUUCUUUACCCCG
rnacentral:rRNA from 1 species